rnacentral:rRNA from 1 species
GUGGGGAAUAUUGCACAAUGGGGGAAACCCUGAUGCAGCAACGCCGCGUGAAGGAAGACGGUUUUCGGAUUGUAAACUUCUGUUCUUAGUGAAGAAUAAUGACGGUAGCUAAGGAGCAAGCCACGGCUAACUACGUGCCAGCAGCCGCGGUAAUACGUAGGUGGCAAGCGUUGUCCGGAAUUACUGGGUGUAAAGGGAGCGUAGGCGGGAUGCCAAGUCAGCUGUGAAAACUACGGGCUUAACCUGUAGACUGCAGUUGAAACUGGUAUUCUUGAGUGAAGUAGAGGUUGGCGGAAUUCCGAGUGUAGCGGUGAAAUGCGUAGAUAUUCGGAGGAACACCGGUGGCGAAGGCGGCCAACUGGGCUUUAACUGACGCUGAGGCUCGAAAGUGUGGGGAGCAAACAGGAUUAGAAACCCUAGUAGUCCC